UGCUUUCUUGAAAUUCCUGCGAUACCUCGAUGAAACAGCUCUGCCUGCCCUCUGCCUUCCAUGGCGUUCGGUUUAAUGUAGACCAAUGAGAAGCUUGCCACGGCUCAUCUCCUCCUCACAUAGCCUGAGUUUGAGACCACGCUCCUGAGGCCGGUGGGAACGACAUGCUACAGCAAGCCAUAUAUUGAGGCCUGGAAAAUGGUACUGCACCCACCUGGCCUGCGGCUGGAGUUAUCGUCCCUGGAGCAGCACCAAUUGGGAGCGAGGGCUGAGCAGUGACUUUCCCCUCCAACCACGUCCAAUCUGUGGCCUGCAGGCUCCCGAGGAGCGAGGAUGGCAGCAUGGGACGAGCAGGCAGAAAGUCCUAACGCUGGCUCUGGCAAGCCCUGGCCUUUCCGCUCUGCCCCCGCUGCACCCAGCAAUGGCUGAGGGGCCCGCGGCGCACCAGAGAUGAGUGGAACUUUCCCCCUGGAAGUAGGG
rnacentral:lncRNA from 1 species